GGGCAGUCAUCGCCGAGUCCCCGUACGGCGCGAGCCAGGGGAGCCGGGGACCCACAUUGUGCAGUCCCUGGGGUGAAUCGGACGCCCGCGCGUGCCGCGAGGGGGCCCGUAGGAGACCUUCCUGCUCCGAACCCGUCAGCUAACCCGGUAGGCGAGAAGGAAGGAAAG
rnacentral:sRNA from 2 species